rnacentral:snRNA from 1 species
AGCUUUGCGCAGUGGCAGUAUCGUAGCCUAUGAGGUUUAUCCGAGGCGCGAUUAUUGCUAGUUGAAAACUUUACCCAAUACCCCGCCAUGACGGCUUGAAAUAUAGCCGGCUACGGCAAUUUUUGACGGUCUCUACGGAGA